rnacentral:rRNA from 1 species
AACGAACGCUGGCGGCAUGCCUAACACAUGCAAGUCGAACGAGACCUUCGGGUCUAGUGGCGCACGGGUGCGUAACGCGUGGGAACCUGCCCUUAGGUUCGGAAUAACUCCCCGAAAGGGGUGCUAAUACCGGAUAAUGUCUUCGGACCAAAGAUUUAUCGACUUUGGAUGGGCCCGCGUUGGAUUAGCUGGUUGGUAGGGUAAAAGCCUACCAAGGAGACGAUCCAUAGCUGGUCUGAGAGGAUGAUCAGCCACACUGGGACUGAGACACGGCCCAGACUCUUACGGGAGGCAGCAGUGGGGGAUAUUGGACAAUGGGCGAAAGCCUGAUCCAGCAAUGCCGCGUGAGUGAUGAAGGCCUUAGGGUUGUAAAGCUCUUUUACCCGGGAUGAUAAUGACAGUACCGGGAGAAUAAGCUCCGGCUAACUCCGUG